rnacentral:tRNA from 1 species
GCCUCGGUGGUCGAAGUGGUAAGAUGUCUGCACGGAAUGCCGGAAGAUCCAGGUUUGAAUCCUGGCUGAGGUG